rnacentral:lncRNA from 1 species
UUCAGAGAAGAACAGUUUAAUAAUUGAAAUAUAACAUGACAUAAUAUAACAUAACGUAAUACAAUAUAAUGUCAUAGUAUCAUAGAAUCACAGAAUGGUUUGGAUUGGAAGGGACCUUAAAGUUCAUCUAGUUCCAACCCCCCCUGCCAUGGGCAGGGACACCUACCACUAGAGCAGGUUGCUCAAAGUCCCAUCCAACCUGGCCUUGAACAUUGCCAGGGAUGGGGCAUCCAUAUAUAAAAUAUAAAAAAUAAAAUUUAUAAUAAAUAAUAAAAAUGUAAUUACAUUAUCUAUAAUAUAAAUAAUAGAAAAUAUAGUAUUGUAAUAAAAAGGGAGACAACAAAAAGACAGGGAGAAAUAAAACCAAAGGAACACAAGUGAUGCACAAUACAAUUGCUCGCCACCUGCUGACCGAUACCCAGCCUGACCCGAGCAGUGGUCUGGGCCUUCCAGGUGACUCCCCCCAGUUUAUAUACUGGGCAUGACGUGCUGUGGUAUGGAAUACCCCUUUGGAUAGUUUGGGUCAGGUGUCCUGUCUCUGCUUCCUCCCAGCUUCUUGUGUCCCUCCUCACUGGCAGAGCAUGAGACUGAAGAGUCCUUGAUCAGGGUAAGUGCUACUCAACAACCAAAACAUAGGUGUAUUGUCAGCAUUGUUCUCAGACACAAGCCAAAACACAGCACUGCACCAGCUACUAGGAAGAAAAUUAACUCUAUCCCAGCUGAAUCCACACACAUUUCCUCUUCUUGCUUCUCACAAGUGCUUUCACUAUGCAGUGCUUUCAUUAUUCAGAAAGUGAGUGAUCAAAGACAGCCAAGGAUGAAAAUAAUUAGAUAUGCUUUAAAAUACAGAUUCUACUUUUUUGCAAGUAUUUUUUAAAAAAAUAAAAAAAUUAUAGUGAUGACUUCUUUUUAAAGGGAUCCAAACUUUAUCCCUUAGUUACAAUCCCCUUAAAGUUGUUACAGCAAAGCUAACAUUUUGUGCCAAGUUCUACAGUAUGUGUUAAUACAUUUAUUUAUUUCUUAAUACCGUCCUGCAGCACAUUCAUCAUUUAUGUAUGCAGAAUUGGAAUGAAAUUAAUUAUAUUUAAAGAUACAAUAUUUCUACUUAAUAUUCAAUAGCAGUAUACAAUUUCAGGUUAUUAAUCUUAAAUCUCGGGUUUUCGUGUUGAAAUUUCUAUGGAGCUCAUUCCAGAUUUAUGCCAGAGAUUAAUUGCAAAAAAGACAGUAUAAGUAAUUUUCAUUUACUUAUUAAUAUAUUUUGGCUCCUAACCUCAUCAUAAAUACUGUAUUCAACAUAUGUGACUCAUGAAGGUACACAGCUAGUAAAUUUUGCUGUGGCAAAGUGCAUUAAAAAUCCUCCUGUAUACCUUUCUUUUACAGACAUAUUAAUAAGACUUCUUACUAUCAGACUGUUGAAUAAUGUCUCUAGGACUGCAGACACUUCAGGAAAGGAGAUAUUAUUUCAAAAGGCCAUAUUUACAGUUUUACUAAGUACUAAAGAGUGUAUGAACAUUGUAUUACAGCUUACCCUUUAUCUACUUUC